CCGUCUCCCUCUCGCUCUCUCGUGCUCCCUCUCUUAAUCUUGCUGCCACUCUUCGUGUGGACGGAAGGUUUCUUCCUAUCAGGUAAAAACAGAGGGUUUCUUCCCAUCUCGCUGCCACUCUCCUUGUGGUUGGAAGGUUUCUUCCCUUCAGGUAAAAACAAAGGGUUUCUUCCCAUCAUCCCCUCAUCGUCCUUGGUAUCUCUCUCUCUCUCUCAAAUAUUGAAUGUCCAAACCCUAUUCUGUGGUCAUCAACAGUGAAGAGAAUAGAAGAAAUCUGAGAAGGCACUAGAAGUGGGACAAGAUUGAAGACAAGUACGCAGUGACUGUGCUUGCAUUGGCAGUAGCCAUCACGUUGUGGGGCUUGGCAGGUUUGAUCUCGGCAAUCGAUAGGCUUCCUUUAGUACCUGACAUUCUUGAACUCAUAGGAAUCAGUUAUACAGGGGUAUGUUGUAAUGUACUAUGCUAUCCUUAGAAGAAAUGCAUCCCACUAAAAACUGUUUUUAGUUCUCAUGUUUUUUCAGGUUUCUAAGACUAAUCUUGUGAGUUAUACACACUAAUGGGUAUAUGAGUUUUAUGGUGGAAAUGAUGUGGGCUUAUCUUCCUCUUUUGUGGUCUCUUAUAAAACCAAUAUCUCUUAAAAUUUGCAUUGAUGAAAAUUGAAUUUGCUGUAUGCUAAAAUACCAGCCACACAUAAGAAGAGAGAGAGAGAGAGGGAAGUAUGGGGUACCAAACCAACUACAUAUAUAGUUGUGUUAGACCAAUGCAUGGAAGUAAAUUUCUUUAAAUACCUCUGAUUCAUUAUUCAGUCCCAGCUUGUUAGAUAGGUACUUCAUUAAACAACCCAACAGUCAUCCUUCCAUCUCUGCGAACAAAAAUAAAAAAUAAAAAUUCUUUCUUAUUCAUACAUUUCAUCAAAUUCAUGUACUGUGCACAUACAAGAUUCUCAAGUAGCUCUUGGGUAUCUGAGGCAAAAAGGGUUCUUUCUCUCUGCAUUGACAAAUCAAGUACAAUCAAUUACAAUCUAAUAUUAAAUCCUCAAAGACAAAUUUAAAGAAAAAAAAAAGAAAAAAGAAAAUCCAACUUGGGUUUUUGUUAUCAAUAUUUUUCUUAAAGAAUACUUGAAUUAUUUUCAAUCCAAACCACUUGGAAACUCAAAAACUGUCUGAACCAUUG